rnacentral:rRNA from 1 species
UGAGUUUGUACAUGCAAGUCGAGCGGAUUUUUUGCAGCUUGCUACAAACUGUUAGCGGCGGACGGGUGAGUAACACGUAGGCAACCUGCCCUUGAGACCGGGAUAACAUUCGGAAACGAAUGCUAAGACCGGAUAGGCAGCGAGGCGGCAUCGCCUUGCUGAGAAACACGGUGCAAGCUGUGGCUUGAGGAUGGGCCUGCGGCGCAUUAGCUAGUUGGUGGGGUAACGGCUCACCAAGGCGACGAUGCGUAGCCGACCUGAGAGGGUGAACGGCCACACUGGGACUGAGACACGGCCCAGACUCCUACGGGAGGCAGCAGUAGGGAAUCUUCCACAAUGGGCGCAAGCCUGAUGGAGCAACGCCGCGUGAGUGAGGAAGGCUUUCGGGUCGUAAAGCUCUGUUGCCAGGGAAGAAUAAGGAUGUGUUAACUGCACAUUCGAUGACGGUACCUGAGGAAAGCCCCGGCUAACUACGUGCCAGCAGCCGCGGUAAUACGUAGG